GCUUAUGUUCGGUCGCUUUGGGCAGGUGGUGGAGACAAAGAAAUCCAUUACUCUCCAGGAGGCCAGCCAGGAGGAACGCGGGUUAUUAAGCAGUUUGUUGGGGUUCGAGCCGAACUCGAUGCUUUGCGUUCCUGUAAUCAGUCAAGCCACUGGACAGGUGGUGGCGCUAGCGUGUACCUUCAACAAACUGAGUGGACAGAGGUACAUGGAGGCGGAUGAGCAUGUGAUCCAGCACUGUUUCUGUUACACGUCGACGGUUCUCACCAGCACACUGGCCUUCCAGAAAGAGCAGAAACUCAAGUUCGAGU